UAGAAUUAUUUAUUGGUUGUAGCUGGUCUUCGCAAGAUGACAAUGUGCACACCUUUAUUCAUCAAUCACACCCUGUGCACCUUUUGUAGACUUUGUUGUCUAUGUUUUUCUCCGUCUGCCAAUACAUAAACUCAUAUAUAUAAUUUGAAUGUAAUUGAUGUAACGCAUCUAUAAAC
rnacentral:misc_RNA from 1 species